GGCAACCUGAUGGGGUCCCUUUUCAAGCUGUGGAACCUUUGUUCUUUCUCUGUUUGCAAUAAAUCUUGCCACUGCUCACUCUUUGGGUCCACACUGCUUUUAUGAGCUGUAACACUCACCGCGAAGGUCCGCAGCUUCACUCCUGAAGCCAGCGAGACCACGAGCCUACUGGGAGGAACGAACAACUCCCGACGCGCCGCCUUAAGAGCUGUAACACUCACCGCGAAGGUCUGCAGCUUCACUCCUGAGCCAGCGAGACCACGAACCCACCAGAAGGAAAAAACUCCGAACACAUCUGAACAUCAGAAGCAACAAACUCCGGACACGCCGCCUUUAAGAACUGUAACACUCACUGCGAGGGUCCGCGGCUUCAUUCUUGAAGUGAGUGAGACCAAGAACCCACCAGUUCUGGACACAAUUUCAAGUCCUCAGGCAAUCUAGAUGCUGGGGACACAAGGUCCACCUUCCAGGAAUAUGGCCAUGACACCAGAAAUCACAAACAUGAUGAGAAUGGAAUGACUGGGGAAGAAGUGCCAGAUGCUUCACUUGUAAAUGAAGACCCAGCCUCUGGGGAUGCAGAUACCACCUCCCUGAAGAAGCUGAAUAUCUGCAGAUAAGUGGAGUUCACCAAUGAUGAGGAGCGGGAUGGAGAAAGGAGGUAGGGAGAGUCAUCCAAGGAACAUGAGCAACAUGUUAAAAGUGUAUUCGACACACAGCUGCCUGAUG
rnacentral:lncRNA from 1 species